CCCUUAGAUGGUCUGGGCGGCACGCGCGCUACAAUGAUGCAUUCAAAAAGUCUUCUGACCUUAGAAGGUUGGGUAUUCUCCAAAAUGCAUCGUGAUGGGAAUAGUUGAUUGCAUUUUUUAAUCUUGAACGAGGAAUUCCUAGUAAGUACAGGUCAUCAACUUGUGUUGAUUACGUCCCUGCCCUUUGUACACACCGCCCGUCGCUCCUACUGAUUGAGUGUCUCGGUGAAUUAUUUGAUCUUCUGUCGAUUCAGUUCACUGAUCCGACGGUGGAAAGUUGAAUGAACUUCGUCACUUAGAGGAAGGAGAAGUCGUAACA
rnacentral:rRNA from 1 species